UACGUAGGGGGCAAGCGUUGUCCGGAAUUAUUGGGCGUAAAGAGCGUGUAGGCGGUCCGGUAAGUCAGCUGUGAAAGUCAAGGGCUCAACCCUUGAAAGCCGGUUGAUACUGUCGGGCUAGAGUCCGGAAGAGGCGAGUGGAAUUCCCGGUGUAGCGGUGAAAUGCGCAGAUAUCAGGAAGAACACCAAUGGCGAAGGCAGCUCUCUGGGACGGUACUGACGCUGAGACGCGAAAGCGUGGGGAGCGAACAGG
rnacentral:rRNA from 1 species